rnacentral:tRNA from 1 species
AGGAAUUUAGGUUAACACAGACCAAGAGCCUUCAAAGCUCUAAGUAAGUACAAAGUACUUAACUCCUGAAAACCUAAGGACUGCAGGACUUAUCCUACAUCAAUUGAAUGCAAAUCAAACACUUUAAUUAAGCUAAGUCCUCACUAGAUUGGUGGGAU